UAGCUAGUUGGUGAGGUAAAGGCUUACCAAGGCGACGAUCUGUAGCGGGUCUGAGAGGAUGAUCCGCCACACUGGAACUGAGACACGGUCCAGACUCCUACGGGAGGCAGCAGUGGGGAAUUUUGGACAAUGGGGCAACCCUGAUCCAGCCAUGCCGCGUGAGUGAAGAAGGCCUUCGGGUUGUAAAGCUCUUUCGGCCGGGAAGAAAUCGCAUGGGCCAAUACCCUGUGUGGAUGACGGUACCGGAAUAAGAAGCACCGGCUAACUACGUGCCAGCAGCCGCGGUAAUACGUAGGGUGCGAGCGUUAAUCGGAAUUACUGGGCGUAAAGCGUGCGCAGGCGGUUUUGUAAGACAGGCGUGAAAUCCCCGGGCUUAACCUGGGAACUGCGUUUGUGACUGCAAGGCUAGAGUACGGCAGAGGGGGGUGGAAUUCCACGCGUAGCAGUGAAAUGCGUAGAGAUGUGGAGGAACACCAAUGGCGAAGGCAGCCCCCUGGGUCGAUACUGACGCUCAUGCACGAAAGCGUGGGUAGCAAACAGGAUUAGAUACCCUGGUAGUCCACGCCCUAAACUAUGCCAACUAGGUGUUGGGUGGGUAAAACCAUUUAGUACCGUAGCUAACGCGUGAAGUUGACCGCCUGGGGAGUACGGCCGCAAGGUUAAAACUCAAAGGAAUUGACGGGGACCCGCACAAGCGGUGGAUGAUGUGGAUUAAUUCGAUGCAACGCGAAAAACCUUACCUACCCUUGACAUGCCAGGAACUUGCCAGAGAUGGCUUGGUGCCCGAAAGGGAGCCUGGACACGGGUGCUGCAUGGCUGUCGUCAGCUCGUGUCGUGAGAUGUUGGGUUAAGUCCCGCAACGAGCGCAACCCUUGUCGUUAAUUGCCAUCAUUUAGUUGGGCACUUUAACGAGACUGCCGGUGACAAACCGGAGGAAGGUGGGGAUGACGUCAAGUCCUCAUGGCCCUUAUGGGUAGGGCUUCACACGUCAUACAAUGGUCGGUACAAAGGGUUGCCAAGCCGCGAGGCGGAGCCAAUCCCAGAAAGCCGAUCGUAGUCCGGAUUGCAGGCUGCAACUCGCCUGCAUGAAGUCGGAAUCGCUAGUAAUCGUGGAUCAGCAUGUCACGGUGAAUACGUUCCCGGGUCUUGUACACACCGCCCGUCACACCAUGGGAGCGGGUUCCGCCAGAAGUAGGUAGCCUAACCGCAAGGGGGGCGCUUACCACGGCGGGGUUCGUGACUGGGGUGAAGUCGAAACAAGGUAGCCGUAGGGGAACCUGCGGCUG
rnacentral:rRNA from 1 species